rnacentral:rRNA from 1 species
UACGGAGGGUGCAAGCGUUGUCCGGAAUCACUGGGCGUAAAGGGCGCGUAGGCGGCUCAUGAAGGCUGUGGUGAAAGUCCGGGGCUCAACCUCGGAUCGGCCGUGGCGACUCGUGGGCUGGAGCACUGUAGAGGCGGGUGGAAUUCCGGGUGUAGCGGUGGAAUGCGUAGAGAUCCGGAAGAACACCGGUGGCGAAGGCGGCCCGCUGGGCUGUUGCUGACGCUGAGGCGCGGCAGCGUGGGGAGCAAACAGG